GGUGACUAGUGAGAGUGAGGAAGGGGGACUAGUGAGGGAGGGGGUGACUAGUGACAGAGUGAGGGAGCAGGUGACACAGUGACAGAGUUAGGGAGGGAGUGGCUAGUAACUAGUGACAGUCACUCCCUCCCUCACUCUGUCACUAGUCACCCCCUCCCUCUGUCACUAGUCACCCUCUCCCUCUGUCAUCAGUCAUCCCCUCACUCUGUCACUAGUCAUCCCCUCACUCUGUCACUAGUCACCCCUUCCCUCCCUCACUUUGCCACUAGUCAUCUCUUCCCUCCCUCACU